rnacentral:rRNA from 1 species
AUUGAACGCUGGCGGCAGGCCUAACACAUGCAAGUCGAACGGUAGCACAGAGAGCUUGCUCUCGGGUGACGAGUGGCGGACGGGUGAGUAACGUCUGGGAAACUGCCCGAUGGCGGGGGAUAACUACUGGAAACGGUAGCUAAUACCGCAUAACGUCGCAAGACCACAGUGGGGGACCUUCGGGCCUCACACCAUCGGAUGUGCCCAGAUGGGAUUAGCUAGUAGGUGGGGUAAUGGCUCACCUAGGCGACGAUCCCUAGCUGGUCUGAGAGGAUGACCAGCCACACUGGAACUGAGACACGGUCCAGGCUCCUACGGGAGGCAGCAGUGGGGAAUAUUGCACAAUGGGCGCAAGCCUGAUGCAGCCAUGCCGCGUGUAUGAAGAAGGCCUUCGGGUUGUAAAGUACUUUCAGCGGGGAGGAAGGCGGUGGAGUUAAUAACUUCACCGAUUGACGUUACCCGCAGAAGAAGCACCGGCUAACUCCGUGCCAGCAGCCGCCGUAA